CGCGCAGGCGGUCUUGUCCGUCAGGUGUGAAAGCUCGGGGCUCAACCCCGGAAGUGCACUUGAAACAGCAAGACUUGAAUACGGGAGAGGAGAGAGGAAUUCCUGGUGUAGAGGUGAAAUUCGUAGAUAUCAGGAGGAACACCGAUGGCGAAGACAUCUCUCUGGACCGAUAUUGACGCUGAGGCGCGAAGGCGUGGGUAGCGAACG
rnacentral:rRNA from 1 species